UUGCCAGCCCGCUCAAGAACUACAAAGGAAUUGACGGGGGCCCGCACAAGCGGUGGAGUAUGUGGUUUAAUUCGAUGCAACGCGAAGAACCUUACCUGGUCUUGACAUCCCGGAGACCCUUAGGAAACUAGGGGGUGCUUCCAUCUGGAAGAAUCUGGAGACAGGUGCUGCAUGGCUGUCGUCAGCUCGUGUCGUGAGAUGUUGGGUUAAGUCCCGCAACGAGCGCAACCCUUGCCUUUAGUUGCCAGCAGUUCGGCUGGGCACUCUAAAGGGACUGCCGGUGUUAAACCGGAGGAAGGUGGGGAUGACGUCAAGUCCUCAUGGCCUUUAUGACCAGGGCUACACACGUACUACAAUGGCCGAUACAAAGGGCAGCGACACUGCGAGGUGAAGCCAAUCCCGUAAAAUCGGUCUCAGUCCGGAUUGGAGUCUGCAACUCGACUCCAUGAAGUUGGAAUCGCUAGUAAUCGUGGAUCAGCAUGCCACGGUGAAUACGUUCCCGGGCCUU
rnacentral:rRNA from 1 species